rnacentral:lncRNA from 1 species
CAAAUUCAAGGAGCUUCUACAAGAGAUGGUCACUUGAGUGGAUCCCCUGUUUAACUACUUCAUAACGGGUAGAUGAGUUAAACUUAGAAGGUCGUGAUGAAUUCACUUUUGCUAAUUAGUUCACUUGAGUGGAUCCCCUGUUUGACUGCUUCAUAACGGGUAGAUGAGUUAAACUUAGAAAGUCGUGAUGAAUUCACUUUUGCUAAUUAGUU